AUUGAACGCUGGCGGCAGGCCUAACACAUGCAAGUCGAGCGGAGCGGCGGACGGGUGAGUGAUGCCUAGGAAUCUGCCUGGUAGUGGGGGCUAACGUCCGGAAACGGGCGCUAAUACCGCAUACUAUCAGAUGAGCCUAGGUCGGAUUAGCUAGUUGGUGGGUUAAAGGCCUACAAAGGCGACGAUCCGUACCUGGCCUGAGAGGAUGAUCAGUAACACUGGAACUGAGACAGGGUCCAUACUCCGACGGGAGGCAGCAGUGGGGAAUAUUGGACAAUGGGCGAAAGCCUGAUCCAGCCAUGCCGCGUGUUUGAAGAAGGUCUUCGGAUUGUAAAGCACUUUAAGUUGGGAGGCGUUACCAACAGAAUAAGCACCGGCUAACUUCGUGCCAGCCGCCGCGGUAAUAC
rnacentral:rRNA from 1 species